rnacentral:rRNA from 1 species
UACGGGGGGGGCAAGCGUUGUUCGGAAUUACUGGGCGUAAAGGGCUCGUAGGCGGCCAACUAAGUCGGAUGUGAAAUCCCCAGGCUUAACCUGGCGAACUGCAUCCGAUACUGGAUGGCUUGAAUUCGGGAGAGGGAUGCAGAAUUCCAGGUGUAGCGGUGAAAUGCGUAGAUAUCUGGAGGAAUACCGGUGGCGAAGGCGGCAUCCUGGACCGAGAUUGACGCUGAGGCGCGAAAGCUAGGGGAGCAAACGGGG